GGAAAUCCACAGAUUUAGAACUAACCUUUAAGAAGAAGAAUUAUAUUCUUGAAGUAAAUGAUGCUUGCUCAAAGGGCAUCUAAUGAGGCAAAAACAAGCCUACCUAUGUUGGCCACCACCUUUUGUAACACAGUCGGUACUACUAAUGGAAACUGUCACCACUUAAAGAGAUUCAAGCUCACCCUUUUCAGUCAUAACAUGCUUUGCCCCCUGCCCCCCAACAAAGCUAGCAGAGAAAGCCUAUUAAUGAACCCACAUAAAGAACCACAGCAAGAAAAAUGUUUGUUGUUUAUGAAAAUGAAGGCCAGUCGCAUCUUGUUUGCUGCACAAGUCUGUUUCAGAGAUAUAAAUGUGAUUAAAAUAACAAUUGCACAUGCUAAAAAUUACUGUGAUGAUGGGGAAAGCGCAGGUACUCAUCAGGUUAAAAGAACAAGGAGAAAGACCUGACCACAAACACAUCCAUUGCUAGUUCCUUGAAUUUUGUGUGAAGGUAGAAGUAUCCCACCAAUCACCAAUUUCCCACCGUCUGCACUUCUUUCCUCCCAGGACUAAGAGGCUGAUAGCUAGCAAGGACCACCACUACAGCAGAAGUAGAUUUCUCAGGGAGAGAGAGAUGAUCACCCUACUGGGAAACUGGAGCUACAAAAGCCAGGUUUAAAGAAAUGGGAAUUGUCCUUUCCUCUCUGCCUCUUCCUAGCAGUGCAAGUGCAACAAGUUGCAGAAGCUUUUUCCUGUACAAGUGAAAUAAAACUAAGAGCAAAGGAAGGGUAGUUUAGUUUGGACUCAUACUUAACUCUAAGGCUAGUCAACCCUGGGAAAGACUUGCUUAUGGGAUACAACACAGGAUACGCUAGUUACAUCAACAAGAGAUGGCUUACACUCUUGAAAGGUUGCACAACAGAUGGUGAGGAAAAAAAAACCAAACAAACUAACAGGAUGACACUGACACUAGGGGCAAAGACCUUGUUAGACUUUUGAACGUUUUGCUUGUAUCUGUCCUGGCUGGGUUCGGUGGUUACGUUCACCGUACACCCUUUUAUGCAGGUUUUUGUAAAGCUCCCGAUUUGCACUGGCAAGCGUGUGUGUGCACGGACGGCAGAGGACGAGAAAGCCCAGCAGAGGCUACAGCCAGAAAAGCUGAAGGUAAGACAUCUUGCUCAAUUCUGAAUCCAGUGGAACUGGGAGUCAAGCACCACGGCAAUAUCUCACAGCUGGUCUAGGCUCUGGGGGUGCAGUUCUUUCUGACUGGCUUCUUCCUCCUGUGAACAAGAAGAAAGUGUGACCUGCAAUGUCAGCAAGCUACCAGGAAGUCUAGCAACACUCCAAGAGAGGCAAGGGCUUUCUGCACAUCAGAGAUCUGCUCCUUCUUCAGCUUCAGCCUCGUGAGUGUCCGGUUGUAGCUCUGGUACCGAAGAUACAGACCCAGAAUCACGCACACAGCACAGUGAAAAGUAGAACAGAGCAGACAAUGCGAUACAGUUAUGUUCAGAGACGAAGGAAUCCAACCAUCUCAUGAGAGACUUGUUGAGGAACCGGCACAAAAGGUGCUUUCUGCAGACCAAGAUGUAAGGACUGCUUCAGUAAGCAACCCUACAUGUCUCCAAUCUGUCAAGAGAAAUCUGCUUGAGGAGGAAAAGGUGAAGAGAGAGUGAAAGACAUUUUAGCUAAGGACAGAUAGAAAUUGACCUAUAAAAACUUGUUACCAUGAUGUACAACUUAGCAAUAAGUUUUCAUAAACAUCUGUACAAAGACAUAUUUACUCACACACAUUUCCUAACGCAUUAGAGUGCUGUUGUUACAUCCAUGUACCCGUGCAGUGGCCUUCAGUGGGGACUUCACUGGCUGGCUGCAAAUUCACAGGGACUGUGCAAGUGCAACUCCACUUGAGCAGAAAGAAGCAGGUAUAGGACUAAGUUAUCAGGUCCCUUACAAGAUAAUAUUGAUUUUUCCUCUUUUUAGAAUAUAGAGCUAAAUUUUCUUGAUCUCUAAAUCCAGUUUUGAUUACAAAGAACCUUUACUGUCACUCUGCCGGGUGUUGUUUUCUUAAGGCUUCAUUGUGAUACAUGCAGCUGUUCAGAUCCAUGUGUGGGCAUGUUACCACACACACAUGCAGCAAACAUGCUCUGUGUUCCUAGGAACUGUCUGGGCCAACUGGCAUUGCUGGGAGAAAGUCUGCCUUUGACACACCGUGGGCAGUGAUGAGCACCACACCUAAAAAAAAACAGAAGCGCCUGAGGAGGACCAGCUUCAAAACAAACGUUAUUUCCUCCUGUGCAAUGAAACCAGCUCUGGGGAGGCAACCAACCCACAGUUUACUCCCAGAGGUGACCCACGCUUGUCACAAGUCCGGGAGCUUCCAUCAAGGGGUUCAAGGAGUCACUUCUCAUAGGCUGGGCUGCUGUCAGGGGCAGGAUGUUUGGAUACAGGCUGCUCCUUUGACCCAGAUUUAUCACAGCCAGCAAGAAGAGGGACACACAGUCUAUGUCCUGUGGCAUAUCACAAGCAAACACCUGCCACUGGCCCUACAAAGAUAAAGCAGGACUCAGACCAAAGAUUUUUUCCCCAAUCCAGCUAUCUGCCACAUGCAAGAGAGUCACUGUAUACACAGAGUGCUCACACAGUGUACUCUGUGAACACAGCAGGCUGUGAGCUUGUGUUGAGUAAGUGUGAUGAGAAGAAGGAAUGCUCAUCCCUCUUGGUUUUUAGGGAAUGUUGCAUUAAUAUAUGGGCUAACAUGUAGGGAAAAAAAUAGCAGGAUGCAUCAUAUGUGAGAUUGUAUUUUCCAUCACCUUUGUUAACAGAUGCAAGCAUGAUGGAGAACUACAGUGCAACACCCAGCUUUCUGUUGGAAUAGCAUAAUUCAUAAAAUGGGAGACUAGUGAAAGAAGGUCUCUGUUGUGGAAUUGUUUCCCUCCUCCAGAACUCGUGUCGCUGCUGGAGUUCCCACUUUUAGAUGCACCAGCACUUUUUAAUGUAUUUAUUCUCCAAAGCGUAGGUAAAGCCUGUAGUUUUUUUCGUCUAUUCACUGAAAUAUUGUUUGGUUUCAUUAGCUAUUAUUUAUACUUCAGUGCUUUUCAUCUACUUACUCCUCAGUUACACACUUAUGAGUUUAGUAAAGCACUUAAAGUCCCUAUUGUGACCACCUAGGUUUGCUGAGCAGUUCUUAGCAUAUGGCUACAAACCG